rnacentral:tRNA from 1 species
CGAUCGCAUCGUCGAAGGGCAGGAUGUCCGGGUCGCUCCCAUCGGCCCGGCCGUCCCCGGUCCGCCACCGGGCGAUGGAC